rnacentral:rRNA from 1 species
CAGCAGCCGCGGGAAAACGAAGGGUGCAAGCGUUAAUCGGAAUUACUGGGCGUAAAGCGUGCGCAGGCGGUUCGGAAAGAAAGAUGUGAAAUCCCAGGGCUCAACCUUGGAACUGCAUUUUUAACUACCGGACUAGAGUAUGUCAGAGGGAGGUGGAAUUCCACGUGUAGCAGUGAAAUGCGUAGAUAUGUGGAGGAACACCGAUGGCGAAGGCAGCCUCCUGGGAUAAUACUGACGCUCAUGCACGAAAGCGUGGGGAGCAAACAGGAUUAGAUACCCCUGUAGUCCCUGUCUCUUAUAC